AGUGAACGCUGGCGGUAGGCCUAACACAUGCAAGUCGAACGGCAGCACAGUAAGAGCUUGCUCUUACGGGUGGCGAGUGGCGGACGGGUGAGGAAUACAUCGGAAUCUACUUUUUCGUGGGGGAUAACGUAGGGAAACUUACGCUAAUACCGCAUACGACCUACGGGUGAAAGCAGGGGAUCUUCGGACCUUGCGCGAUUGAAUGAGCCGAUGUCGGAUUAGCUAGUUGGCGGGGUAAAGGCCCACCAAGGCGACGAUCCGUAGCUGGUCUGAGAGGAUGAUCAGCCACACUGGAACUGAGACACGGUCCAGACUCCUACGGGAGGCAGCAGUGGGGAAUAUUGGACAAUGGGCGCAAGCCUGAUCCUGCCAUACCGCGUGGGUGAAGAAGGCCUUCGGGUUGUAAAGCCCUUUUGUUGGGAAAGAAAGGCAGCAGGUUAAUACCCCGCUGUUCUGACGGUACCCAAAGAAUAAGCACCGGCUAACUUCGUG
rnacentral:rRNA from 1 species